CUAUUGUUUCUUUCCCAUUCCAGAAUGUUCUCUUCAUCUCACUUUUUCUCUUCUUUCUCACCAAUCUCUCCAAAUCCGAACUCUAAUCAUGGAUCCAAACAUCAAGAAGAAGUCAAGAACGAUCAAGAACUUAUAUUAAUUUCAUUUCACUUGAUAAUAUUUCAAUUGUAAUCAUAACCCGACAAGUAUCCAUUCACUCUUGCUUACGACUAAAGCUUUCUCUUUCAUCCUCGGAGCCUUCAGAAUAUCAAAGAAAUACCCACUUUCUUCAUCCUUUCAACUAGCUUACAAGUCCAGAAGUAGAUCAUCGGCUAUUCUCCUAAACAGAACAACCUUCUAUUCUCUUUCUUCAGCGCCAACACAACUGUGAUCUUUAAUUGAUACAUAGCCGCUGGGAAUCGUGGUUCCUCAAGGCUACCAUGCCUCCAACUCUGUCAUUUGGACUAACAAUGACGAUUCAAUAUUGGUUCAAUGUACAAGGAGUUGAUUUUUUUAGGCUCUAAAAAGCAUUUGGUCUACCUCAAUGCCAACAAAUGAUGUGCAACAAUUCUCCAAGGUAAGUUCCAUUCAAGUUAUUUUGAAAAUUUUGGGUUAGAAUGUUGUGGCAUGCUUAAAUAUCAACAAAUCUAUCUGUAAGAUAACAUAUAUCGUGUUUGAAAAUUGAUGCUCAUGUCGGGGAUGUGAAUGAUCUUGGCAUUGGUUACCCGAAUAACAAUUAUGUGUAGUUAUGUCGAGAUGUAAAGUAGAUGAUGCUAACAUCUAAACUCUUCUUGCGGGAAUCUAUAAUAUGUAGUUGUGAAUUA